CGUGCAAGUCGUCUUGUCGCCUUGAUCCCGGUACGUAUCGGGACAGGGAGGAAAGUCCGGGCAACAUAGAGCGCCAUACUUCCUAACAGGAAGGCCUUUGACUGGUGACGGUCAGGGGACAGAAAGUGCCACAGAAAAUAAACCACCCUGAUGCCGAUAGCUAUCGGCACGAAGGGAAAGGGUGAAAAGGUGGGGUAAGAGCCCACCGCUCCGACAGUGAUGAAGGAGGCAUGGCAAACCUUAUGGGUUGAAAGAUCAAAUAGGCCUCGGGCAAAGAGCUGCUCGUUCGAUUCUUUCUCUUUCGGGGAAGAUUCCGGGGUGGGUAGAUCGAUAGAGUCUUGGUGCGAAUCAAGAUCGAGAUAAAUGACAAGAGCCCUGAGAAAUCAGGGGACAGAACCCGGCUUACAGACUUGCACUUUUU
rnacentral:RNase_P_RNA from 1 species